AAUAUUGGACAAUGGGCGAAAGCCUGAUCCAGCCAUGCCGCGUGUGUGAAGAAGGUCUUCGGAUCGUAAAGCUCUGUCCUUGGGGAAGAAGGUCUUCGGACUUGACGGUACCUAAGGAGGAAGCCCUGGCUAACUACGUGCCAGCAGCCGCGGUAAUACGUAGGGGGCAAGCGUUGUCCGGAAUUAUUGGGCGUAAAGGGUGCGUAGGCGGCCUUUUAAGUCAGAUGUGAAAGACCACAGCUUAACUGUGGGGUUGCAUUUGAAACUGGAGAGCUUGGGUAUCGGAGAGGGUAGUGGAAUUCCUGGAGUAGCGGUGAAAUGCGUAGAUAUCAGGAGGAACACCAGUGGCGAAGGCGACUACCUGGACGAAAACUGACGCUGAGGCACGAAAGCUAGGGGAGCAAACA
rnacentral:rRNA from 1 species